GCUUAGUUGGUUAAGCAGUUAAGCAUCUGACUCUUGAUCUCAGCCCAGUUCUGGACCUCAGAGUUGUGAGUUCGAGCCCCACACUGGGCU
rnacentral:tRNA from 1 species